GACGAACGCUGGCGGCGUGCUUAACACAUGCAAGUCGAACGAAGAGCGAUGGAAGCUUGCUUCUAUCAAUCUUAGUGGCGAACGGGUGAGUAACGCGUAAUCAACCUCCCCUUCAGAGGGGGACAACAGUUGGAAACGACUGCUAAUACCGCAUACGAUCUAACCUCGUCAUCGAGGAUAGAUGAAAGGUGGCGUCUACAUUUAUGCUAUCACUGAAGGAGGGUUUUGCGUCUGAUUAGCUAAUUGGAGGCGUAACGGCCCACCAAUGCGAUGAUCAGUAGGCGGUCUGGGAGGAUGGACGGCCACAUUGGGAAUGGGGAACGGCCCAAGAUCCUACGGGAGGGAACAGGGGGGAAUCUUCCGCAAUGGACGAAAGUCUGGCGGAGCAACGCCGCGUGGGGGAUGAAAGGCUUCGGGUUGUAAAGCUCUGUUAAUCGGGGAGAAAGGAAUUCUUGCGAAUAGGGAGAAGGAUUGACGGUACCGGAAUAGAAAGCCACGGCUAACUACGUG
rnacentral:rRNA from 1 species